AGAGUUUGAUCCUGGCUCAGGAUGAACGCUAGCUACAGGCUUAACACAUGCAAGUCGAGGGGCAGCAUGGUCUUAGCUUGCUAAGGCUGAUGGCGACCGGCGCACGGGUGAGUAACACGUAUCCAACCUGCCGUCUACUCUUGGACAGCCUUCUGAAAGGAAGAUUAAUACAAGAUGGCAUCAUGAGUCCGCAUGUUCACAUGAUUAAAGGUAUUCCGGUAGACGAUGGGGAUGCGUUCCAUUAGAUAGUAGGCGGGGUAACGGCCCACCUAGUCUUCGAUGGAUAGGGGUUCUGAGAGGAAGGUCCCCCACAUUGGAACUGAGACACGGUCCAAACUCCUACGGGAGGCAGCAGUGAGGAAUAUUGGUCAAUGGGCGAGAGCCUGAACCAGCCAAGUAGCGUGAAGGAUGACUGCCCUAUGGGUUGUAAACUUCUUUUAUAAAGGAAUAAAGUCGGGUAUGUAUACCCGUUUGCAUGUACUUUAUGAAUAAGGAUCGGCUAACUCCGUGCCAGCAGCCGCGGUAAUACGGAGGAUCCGAGCGUUAUCCGGAUUUAUUGGGUUUAAAGGGAGCGUAGAUGGAUGUUUAAGUCAGUUGUGAAAGUUUGCGGCUCAACCGUAAAAUUGCAGUUGAUACUGGAUAUCUUGAGUGCAGUUGAGGCAGGCGGAAUUCGUGGUGUAGCGGUGAAAUGCUUAGAUAUCACGAAGAACUCCGAUUGCGAAGGCAGCCUGCUAAGCUGCAACUGACAUUGAGGCUCGAAAGUGUGGGUAUCAAACAGGAUUAGAUACCCUGGUAGUCCACACGGUAAACGAUGAAAACUCGCUGU
rnacentral:rRNA from 1 species